ACUCCUACGGGAGGCAGCAGUGGGGAAUAUUGGACAAUGGGGGCAACCCUGAUCCAGCCAUGCCGCGUGAGUGAAGAAGGCCCUAGGGUCGUAAAGCUCUUUCAACUGUGAAGAUAAUGACGGUAGCAGUAGAAGAAACCCCGGCAACNCCUGNGCCAUCAGCCGCGGUAAUACGGAGGGGGUUAGCGUUGUUCGGAAUUACUGGGCGUAAAGCGCACGUAGGCGGACUAUUAAGUUAGAGGUGAAAUCCCAGGGCUCAACCCUGGAACUGCCUUUAAUACUGGUAGUCUUGAGUUCGAGAGAGGUGAGUGGAAUUCCGAGUGUAGAGGUGAAAUUCGUAGAGUGAAUUU
rnacentral:rRNA from 1 species